rnacentral:tRNA from 1 species
GGGUAGGUUCCCGAGCGGUCAAAGGGGGCAGACUGUAAAUCUGUUAGCUAUGCUUUCGAAGGUUCGAAUCCUUCCCUACCCACCA